GGCUGGAAAAAAAAAAGAAGAAAGAGUUUGUUUACAUUUCUGCAAAGAUCCUGUAGCAUGUGCUGUAACUUGCCCAGGAUGUGGGAGGCUCUGUGAGACCCCAACUAAUCCCAAAGGAGGGACCAAGUCCAGGACUUAGGGGACGAAGUUCUGGCCAGGUCCUACCAUGACUCUCACAGUGCCUGUUUCUCACUCAUCACUCUAGGACCAUGAGUCACCCAAGCCCAGCUCGGCCACAUGCCUUCCUGGGAGAAGGAACCGGAGGCGCCCAGGAGAGUCAGAAGCCUCUUAGAGAUAAACAUUCGGCUAAGGCUUGCCCUGCCCUUCCUUUCUUGCACUAAGAAAGCCUCCUGACAUCAGGUCAGGCAAGCCAGAGUUUGGCUGUAAGACCUGGGCUUGGGGACGCUUGUGUGAAGUCCUUUUCCUCUCUGUGCCUCAGUUUCCACUCAGCCGUUUAAACAACCAGAAUUUCAGUCUUCCAGCACAGACACCUGGGGCUGCAAUAAGGUGAAUGCAGACACCAUGACGCAGGCUAAAACUGGGAGUGCAGGCAGGAAGGCCUGGGGCUGCCCCACACCCACUCCUGGAAGUUUUGGGGACUUUGCUGCUGCUCAUGCAAAGGUCUAAAUGCCCAGCUCUGUGCCAGGGCCCUGAGACACCGUCAGGCAUUUCCAGGAGGAUGUGCCCAAACGCCAGCAUGGUCCUGACAGGGCUGCCAGGCUCAUUUGCCUCUUCUGAAAGCAAAAAGAAGAGACAUGAAAUGAAUUUCUAUUAACUGGGACCAUGACUUCUGCGAAGGAAUGAAAAUGCUUUUAAUUCAUAACCAAGAAAUCCUACUUACAUUUGAAAAACUUGUCAACCCAUUGCUGAACAUCUGGGAGAACACGGGGCGGGGGUGGGCUUCGUUAGUGCCCAGCCUGGAACCCCCCAAUUGCCCCGAGGACCUCCCUGGCUCAAGUAGCUCCAGUCUCUCCCGGCUUGAUACCAGGAACAUCAUGGCGCACAGCUCGCGUCCCAGGUCAGCCUUCGUCUUCUGUCUAUAAUUACACCACCCUCUUGAACGUCCCUGGACCAGACGUGUAUAACAGCACAUGUCCAUGAGCCGACAUCAAGAGGACCAUGCUCUGCAUACCAUCCUGUGGCAUGCCCUCCCCUCUGUGGGACCCCUCAUGUUGUGCAGGGACCCCCAGUCCUCUCUCACAGCUGUGCAGUGUGCCGCUGUGGGAACUCACAGCUGUUUACAGCCCUUUCUCUGUCGUGGACAUCUGCUUGGGAGGCUGAGGCAGGAGGAUCGCUUAAGCCCAGCGGUCAAGGCUGCAGUGAGUGGAGACACUCAACGCCAGCUGCUGUGAAAGCAGCCAGGAGGGAGGUUGUACCCUGAAAAGCCACAGGGUCAGAGCUGCCCAAGACCAUGGGAACCCACCUCUUGCAUCUGCGUGGCCUGGAUGUGAGACCUGGAGUCAAAAGAGAUCGUUUUGGAACUUUAAAAUUUGACUCCCCCUCUGGAUUUUGGACUUGCAUGGGCCCUGUAACCCCUUUGUUUUGGCCAAUCUCUCCCAUUUGAAACAGCUGUAUUUACCCAAUACCUGUACCCCCAUUGUAUCUAGGAAGUAACGAGCUUGCUUUUGAUUUUACAGGCUCAUAGGCGGAAGGGACUUGCCUUGUCUCAGAUGAGACUUUGGACUGUGGACUUUUGGGUUAAUGCUGAAAUGAGCUAAGACUUUGGGAGACUCCAGGGAAGGUAUGAUUGGUUUUGAAAUGUGAGGACUUGAGAUUUGGAGGUGUCAGGAGUGGAAUGAUAUGGUUUGGGUAUGUCCCCACCCAGAUCUCAUCUUGAAUUGUCCUCCUAUAACUCCCACGUGUUGUGGGGGAGACCCGGUGGGAGAUAAUUUGAAUCAUGGGGGUGUUUUCCCCCAUACUGUUCUCGUGGUAGUGAAUAAGUCUCAUGAGAUCUGAUGGUUUUAUCAGGGGUUUCCACUUUUGCAUCUUCCUUAUUUUCUCUUGCUGCCACCAUGUAAGAAGUGCCCCUUUCAGCCGCGACUGGAGCAGCUGGGACGAAGGGCACCAAGUCCCUAGGCUGCAAACAGCACGGGGACCCUGGGACCAGCCCACAAAACCAUUUUCUCCUAGGCCUCCAGGCCUGCGAAGACCUUUGACAUGCCCUGGAGACAUACCCCAUUGUCUUGGGGAUUAACAUUCCGCUCUCGUUACUCAUGCAAAUUUCUGCAGCUGGCUUGAAUUUCUCCUCAGAAAAUGGGUUUUUCUUUUCUAUCAUAUUGUCAGACUGCAAAUUUUCCAAACUUUUACGCUCUGCUUCCCUUAUAAAACUGAAUGCCUUUAACAGUACCCAAGUCACCUCUCGAAUGUUUUGCUGCUUAGAAAUUUCUUCUGCCAGAUACCCUAAGUCAUCUCUGUCAAAUUCAAAGUUCCACAAAUCUCUAGGACAGGGGCAAAAUGCUGCCGGUCUCUGCUAAAAUAUAACAAGAAUCACCUUUGCUCCAGUUCCCAGCAAGUUCCUUAUCUUCAUCUGAGACCACCUCAGCCUGGACCUUAUUGUCCAUAUUGCUCUUGGGCUUUUGGUCAAAGCCAUUCAACAAGUCUCUAGGAGGUUCCAAACUUUCCCACAUUUUCCUGUCUCCUUCUAAGCCCUCCAAACUGUUUCCGUCUCUGCCUGUUACCCAGUUCCAAAGUCACUUCCACAUUUUUGGGUAUCUUUUCAGCAAUGCCCCACUCUACUGGUACCGAUUUCUGUAUUAGUCCAUUUUCAUGCUGCUGAUAAAGACAUACCCAAGACUGGGAAGAAAACGAGGUUUAAUUGAACUCACAGUUCCACAUGGCUGGGGAGGUCUCAGAAUCAUGGCGGGAAGCAAAAGGCACUUUUUUUUUUUUUUUUUUUUUUGAGAUGGAGUUUCACUCUUGUUGCCCAGGCUGGAGUGCAGUGGCUCGAUCUCCACUCACUGCAACCUCCCAAAAGGCACUUCUUACAUGGCGGCGGCAAGAGAAAAUGAUGAGGUGUUAAAGCAGAAACCCCUGAUAAAACUGUCAGAUCUUGUGAGACUUAUUCCUACCACAAGAACAGUACGGGGGAAACUGCCUCCAUGAUUCAAAUUAUCUCCCACUGGGUCCCUCUUACAACAUGUGGGAAUUAUGAGAGUACAAUUCAAGAUGAGAUUUGGGUAGGGACACAGCCAAAUCAUAUCAGAUGUUGAGCAUUUUUUCAUGUUUGUUGGCUGCUUGUAUGUCUUCUUUUGAGAAAUGUUUGUUCAUGUAUUUUGCCCACUUUUUUUUUUUGAGCUGGAGUCUUGCUCUGUCGCCAGGCUGGAGUGCAGUGGCGUGAUCUCGGCUCACUGCAACCUCCGCCUCUGGGGUUCAAGCAAUUCUCCCGCCUCAGCCUCCUGAGUAGCUGGGACUGCAGGCACACACCACCAUGCUUGGUUAAUUUUACAUUUUUAGUAGAGCUGGGGUUUCACCAUGUUGGUCAGGAUGGUCUCAACCUCUUGACCUCGUGAUCCACCCACCUCAGCCUCUCAAAGUGCUAGGAUUACAGGUGUGAACCACCACACCUGGCCUUUUGCCCACUUUUUAAUGGGAUUAUUUGUGUGUUGCUUGUUGAAUUGUUUAAGUUCCCUAUGGAGUCUGGAUAUUAGACCUUGGUCGGACAGAUAGUUUGCAAAUACUUUUUCCCAUUCUGUAGGUUUUCUGUUUACUCUGCUGCUAGUUUCUUUUUCUGUGCAGAAGCUCUUUAGUCUAAUUAGGUCCCACUUGUCAAUUUUUGUUUUUGUUGCAAUCGCCUUUGAGGACUUAGUCAUAAAUUCCUUCCCAAGACUAAUGUCCAAAAUGAUGUUUCCUAGGUUUUCUUCUAUCAUUCUUAUAGUUUGAGGUCUUACAUUUAACUCUUUAAUCCAUCUUGAGUUAAUUUUUGUAUAUAGUGAAAGACAAGGGUCCAGUUUCAUUCUUCUGCAUAUGGCUAGCCAGCUAUCCCAGUACCGUUUAUUGACUAGGGAAUACUUUUCUCAUUGCUUAUUUUUGUUGACUUUGUCAAAGAUCAGAUGGCUGUAGGUGUGUGGCUUUAUUUCUGUUUGUUGGUCUAUGUGUCUAUUUUUGUACCAGUACCGUGCUGUUUUGGUUACUGUAGCCAUAUAGUAUAGUUUGAAGUGAGGUAAUGUGAUGCCUCUGGCUUUGUUCUUUUUGCUUAGGAUUACUUUGGCAAUUUGGGCUCCUUUUUGGUUACAUAUGAAUUUUAGAAGUUUUUCUAGUUCUGUGAAAAAUGAUGUUGGUAAUUUGUUUAUUUUUAAUUUUUUAAUUUUUUUUAUUUUUUUGAGACAGGGUCUCACUGUCACCUAGGCUUGAGUACAGUGGCAUGAUCACAGCUCACUGCAGCCCUGAUCUCCCAGGCUCCAGUGAUCCUCCCACCUCAGCCUCUUGAGUAGCUGGGAUUACAGGUGCAUGCCACCACACUGGGCUAAUUUUUGUCUUUUUGGGAGAGAUGGGGGUUUUUGCCAUAUUACCCAGGCUGGUCUCAAACUCCUAGGCUCAAGCAAUCCAUAGGCCUUGGCCUCCCAAAGUGCUGGGAUUACAGUGUGAGUCAUCACGCCCAACCAAUGUUAGUAAUUUGAGAGGAAUAGUGUUGAAUCUAUAAACUGCUUUGGGCAGUAUGGUCAUUUUAACGAUAUUGAGGCUAGGGGCAGUGGCUCAUGCCCAUAAUCCCAGCACUUUGGGAGGCUGAGGCGGGUGGAUCACCUGAGGUUGGGAGUUCAAGACCAGGCUGACAAACAUGGAGAAACCCUGUCUCUACUAAAAAUACAAAAAUUAGCCGGGCGUGGUGGUGCAUGCCUGUAAUCCCAGCUACUCAGGAAGCUGAGGCAGGAGAAUCACUUGAGCCCGGGAAGCAGAGGUUGCGGUAAGCAGAGAUUGCACCAUUGCACUCCAGCCUGGGCAACAAGAGUGAAACUCUGUCUCAAAACAAAACAAAACAAAACAAAAUAUAUUGAUUCUUCCUAUCCA